ensembl:antisense Fbxl12os F-box and leucine-rich repeat protein 12, opposite strand
ACCCUCCCACGAGACAGGAGCUUUCUCUGUAGAAUCAGCUUGUAGGAGACUUUAAUGUGAUCCCCAAUGUUACUCACCAGAAAACAGGCUUGUGGGACAAAUCUGUUGAAUGCACCAACUUCCUUAAUCAGUUAUAUUUUAAGGCACAUAUGAGAAUCCAUAAUGGAAAAAAAUUCUUUGAAUUGACUCAAUUUUCAGGAGAUUUUACAUGUUCUACAAGGGGAGUUCUGCCUAUCAAAUGUACACCAUAAAAGCCUUUGAAUGUAAAAUUUGUGGGAAAGUCUCUGGGUAUUCUUUAAGUCUUAAUAGUCACCUGCAAACCCACACUGGGGAGAAACAUUAUGAAUGUAAAAUAUGUAAAAAAUUCUUCACUACUUCUUCAAGUCUAACUGAACACUUCAAACUAGAGAGAAACCCUAUAAAUGUAAGGAAUAUGGAAACACUUUUACUAAGCACUCAGGACUUUCUUCACGUGUAUAAACACAUUCGGGAAAGAAGUCUUGUGUAUGCAAGUUAUGUGGGAGAUCCUUCAUGAUUCCUUCAAAUAUGACUGAGCAUUUCAGAAUUCAUACUGGAGAGAAACCCUACCAAAGUAAAGAAUGUGGGAAAGCCAUCCAUGCAUCUUCAUAAGCAUCUAAGAACACAUACCAGAGAAACCCUAUAAAUGUGAGAAGCGUGGGAAAGCCUUCCAUACCUCCUCCUACCUACGGAAACAUGUAAGAACUCACAGUGCAGAGAAACCUUAUGAAUGUAGGGAAUGUGGCAAAGCCUACAAAAGGUGUUAUCUAUUGCAUGAACAUUUAAAAACUCACAUGGUAGAGAAACCCUUUGGUUGCAAGGUAUGUUGGAAAGUCUUUUGAACGUUCUGCAUGCUGUAAUAAGCACAUUCAUCCUCACAGCGGAUGAAUACUUACUUAUAAAUGUAAGUACUGUGGCAAAGACUUCACUGUCUCCUCAAGUCUAAUUGGACAAACAAGAGCACACUGGAGAGAGGCCCUAUAAAUGUAAAGAACGUGGGAAAGCCUCUACCUCAGCCUCAUGUCUGAUUGUUCAUAAGAGAACUCACACUGGAGAGAAACCCUAUGAAUGUAAGGAGUGUGGGAAAGCUCACAAGAGGUGUUACCUACUGACUGGACAUAUAAAGACUCACACGGGGGAAAAGCCUU